rnacentral:rRNA from 1 species
UACGUAGGGACCAAGCGUUGUUCGGAUUUACUGGGCGUAAAGGGCGCGUAGGCGGCUUAACAAGUCACUUGUGAAAUCUCCGGGCUUAACUCGGAACGGCCAAGUGAAACUGUCAAGCUAGAGUGCAGAAGGGGCAAUCGGAAUUCUUGGUGUAGCGGUGAAAUGCGUAGAUAUCGAGAGGAACACCUGCGGCGAAGGCGGGUUGCUGGGCCGACACUGACGCUGAGGCGCGAAAGCUAGGGGAGCGAACGGG